AGAGUUUGAUCAUGGCUCAGAUUGAACGCUGGCGGCAGGCCUAACACAUGCAAGUCGAACGGUAACAGGAAGCAGCUUGCUGCUUUGCUGACGAGUGGCGGACGGGUGAGUAAUGUCUGGGAAACUGCCUGAUGGAGGGGGAUAACUACUGGAAACGGUGGCUAAUACCGCAUAACGUCGCAAGACCAAAGAGGGGGACCUUCGGGCCUCUUGCCAUCAGAUGUGCCCAGAUGGGAUUAGCUUGUUGGUGAGGUAACGGCUCACCAAGGCGACGAUCCCUAGCUGGUCUGAGAGGAUGACCAGCCACACUGGAACUGAGACACGGUCCAGACUCCUACGGGAGGCAGCAGUGGGGAAUAUUGCACAAUGGGCGCAAGCCUGAUGCAGCCAUGCCGCGUGUAUGAAGAAGGCCUUCGGGUUGUAAAGUACUUUCAGCGGGGAGGAAGGUGUUGUGGUUAAUAACCGCAGCAAUUGACGUUACCCGCAGAAGAAGCACCGGCUAACUCCGUGCCAGCAGCCGCGGUAAUACGGAGGGUGCAAGCGUUAAUCGGAAUUACUGGGCGUAAAGCGCACGCAGGCGGUCUGUCAAGUCGGAUGUGAAAUCCCCGGGCUCAACCUGGGAACUGCAUUCGAAACUGGCAGGCUUGAGUCUUGUAGAGGGGGGUAGAAUUCCAGGUGUAGCGGUGAAAUGCGUAGAGAUCUGGAGGAAUACCGGUGGCGAAGGCGGCCCCCUGGACAAAGACUGACGCUCAGGUGCGAAAGCGUGGGGAGCAAACAGGAUUAGAUACCCUGGUAGUCCACGCCGUAAACGAUGUCUACUUGGAGGUUGUGCCCUUGAGGCGUGGCUUCCGGAGCUAACGCGUUAAGUAGACCGCCUGGGGAGUACGGCCGCAAGGUUAAAACUCAAAUGAAUUGACGGGGGCCCGCACAAGCGGUGGAGCAUGUGGUUUAAUUCGAUGCAACGCGAAGAACCUUACCUGGUCUUGACAUCCACAGAAGAAUCCAGAGAUGGAUUUGUGCCUUCGGGAACUGUGAGACAGGUGCUGCAUGGCUGUCGUCAGCUCGUGUUGUGAAAUGUUGGGUUAAGUCCCGCAACGAGCGCAACCCUUAUCCUUUGUUGCCAGCGAUUAGGUCGGGAACUCAAAGGAGACUGCCAGUGAUAAACUGGAGGAAGGUGGGGAUGACGUCAAGUCAUCAUGGCCCUUACGACCAGGGCUACACACGUGCUACAAUGGCGCAUACAAAGAGAAGCGACCUCGCGAGAGCAAGCGGACCUCAUAAAGUGCGUCGUAGUCCGGAUUGGAGUCUGCAACUCGACUCCAUGAAGUCGGAAUCGCUAGUAAUCGUGGAUCAGAAUGCCACGGUGAAUACGUUCCCGGGCCUUGUACACACCGCCCGUCACACCAUGGGAGUGGGUUGCAAAAGAAGUAGGUAGCUUAACCUUCGGGAGGGCGCUUACCACUUUGUGAUUCAUGACUGGGGUGAAGUCGUAACAAGGUAACCGUAGGGGAACCUGCGGUUGGAUCACCUCCUU
rnacentral:rRNA from 3 species